UACGGGGGGAGCAAGCGUUGUUCGGAUUUACUGGGCGUAAAGGGCGCGUAGGCGGCCACCGCAAGUCGACUGUGAAAUCUCCGGGCUUAACUCGGAACGGUCAAGUGAUACUGUCGGACUAGAGUACAGAAGGGGCAACUGGAAUUCUCGGUGUAGCGGUGAAAUGCGCAGAUAUCAGGAGGAACACCGAUGGCGAAGGCAGGUCUCUGGGCAUUAACUGACGCUGAGGAGCGAAAGCAUGGGGAGCGAACAGG
rnacentral:rRNA from 1 species